GGUGGUUCUCAGGUGAUGCACCCCAGAAUUGGGCUCCCUCCUCUCUGGUUCCCAGUAUGUCACCCAAAAACUGCA
rfam:Myotis brandtii contig277110, whole genome shotgun sequence.